GAUGAACGCUGGCGGCGUGCCUAAUACAUGCAAGUCGAGCGAACGGACGAGAAGCUUGCUUCUCUGAUGUUAGCGGCGGACGGGUGAGUAACACGUGGAUAACCAACCUAUAAGACUGGGAUAACUUCGGGAAACCGGAGCUAAUACCGGAUAAUAUUUUGAACCGCAUGGUUCAAAAGUGAAAGACGGUCUUGCUGUCACUUAUAGAUGGAUCCGCGCUGCAUUAGCUAGUUGGUAAGGUAACGGCUUACCAAGGCAACGAUGCAUAGCCGACCUGAGAGGGUGAUCGGCCACACUGGAACUGAGACACGGUCCAGACUCCUACGGGAGGCAGCAGUAGGGAAUCUUCCGCAAUGGGCGAAAGCCUGACGGAGCAACGCCGCGUGAGUGAUGAAGGUCCUCGGAUCGUAAAACUCUGUUAUUAGGGAAGAACAUAUGUGUAAGUAACUGUGCACAUCUUGACGGUACCUAAUCAGAAAGCCACGGCUAACUACGUG
rnacentral:rRNA from 1 species